rnacentral:lncRNA from 1 species
CAACAUUGCUUGAAAAUGGCCCACUUUGCUGACUGAGCCCUCGUUUCCAGCACAGAAAAUUGGGAUAGCCAAGAGAGGCCCACUUUGAAAUGAGUUUUCCUUCUCUUCAUUUCUUCAAAAGUUUAAUUCAUUUCUUCAUUUCUUUGAAAAUUUUCUACCGAUUUUCACUAUGGAAUACCCAGAUUUUCCUUAAUCAAUUUCUGGUUUAUGCUUUUUUAAUUUUUUUUCUUUGGGUGUUUUUGCAUAGUGCGCUGGUUUCCUUAAUCAAUCACAGAUUUGGACAAUAAUACAAGCCAAGAAGAAAAGGACGAAGAAGAAGAAGAAGCAUCAGGAAAUGGGAAAAUCUCAAAAUCUGGGAAAAAGUUAGCUAGGAAGCAUAAAGAUCAGCUGUAGAAACUCAAAGAUAAGGUUUUGUUUUUUGUUUUAAAUUUUUUUUGGUUUUUGUUGUAUAGCUUGUAGAAUGUAAAUGAUGGGAUGAAAUGAUAAAAAGACAAGAAAAAAAAAAAAAAGAAAACAAAGACAAUGAUUCUCUUUUCUCGAUUCUCUUUGUUUUAUUUUUUCUUGUCUUUUAAAUUAAAUUAUUUUUGGGAUUUAAAUUCUUUUAUUCAUUAUUCUUCUUUUAUCAAUUAUAUUUGUUUUAAUUUAAAAUAAAGAAAAUAGAUUUUAUUUACAAUUAGAAAUUAUUACAUGCAAGGGCCCUUAAACAAAGAAAUAAAAUAAUCAAGAUGUUGGAAAUAAAGUUAUUACAAAAUAUAGCUACUUGUCAAAAAUUGAAUUUUUUGUGAAAUUUGUUUUGUUUUUUUUUUCAUUUUUUCCAAGUUUAAAACUACUUACUUUCAUUUCAAAUUUGGGAAAUACGCAAAUAAUUUAAUUAUUGUUUAAUGUGGAAUCAAAUGAAAAUAAGAUUUUUAGAACUUUUUGCAUGUAAUGAUUUCUAAUUGUAAAUAAAAUCAAUUAAUAAAAUCUAUUUUC